AUGAGCAGGAGCAAGCCGCCGCACCAGCAGCCAGAUCGGUCGCUGCCGCCCCCAGAUCCGCCCGUAUUCCUCGCGCCGGCGCCGCGGCCUCGCGUCACCCACAGUCCGCCUGCCCAUUCCGACCAACUCCAGCGCCACCAACCUUUUCCCCUGCGUCGAGGAGUUGCUCGAACCGCCGCCGUCCGCUGCGUGGCUAGGCAGCCCAGCCAGAUCGGCAGCUCGCCUGCGUGGGCUGCGCGGAUGGCCGGACAGGAAGACCAUCCGCAUGUCGCGGCGGCGGCUGCCGUAUCCCGUCUCUCCCGCCACGCACGCCACGGCGAGCGUCCUCCAUCCUCCCCCGCGACGCACGACGGCCGGUCAACAACCACCACUGCCCCGCCUCGCCGCGCCGUCUCCGCAGCACUCGCCCCGGCGAACGUCCUCCAACCUCCUGGCGAGCGCCCUCCAUCCUCCCACGCGAGGCACGGCGGCGGCCGUCGAUGGCGCACGACGGAAUGGGCGAAACCGCCGUUGCUGUCGCAGGAGAAAUGGAUAAGACGACGGGAGGACAGCGGGUGGAAUUCAAAUGAGUACAGGGUUUUUUUUGCAAAAUUAAAACGUCAUAUAGAGACCCACUAA
rnacentral:rRNA from 1 species